rnacentral:rRNA from 1 species
UACGUAGGGGGCAAGCGUUGUCCGGAAUCAUUGGGCGUAAAGAGCUCGUAGGCGGCUUGCUAAGUCGGGUGUGAAACCUCCAGGCUCAACCUGGAGCCGCCACUCGAUACUGGUAUGGCUUGAGUCCGGUAGGGGACCACGGAAUUCCUGGUGUAGCGGUGAAAUGCGUAGAUAUCUGGAGGAAUACCGGUGGCGAAGGCGGCAUCCUGGACCGAGAUUGACGCUGAUGAGCGAAAGCUAGGGGAGCAAACGGG